AGAAGUCCAGGGCUAGGAGCCUCAGCCGGCGGACGCCAGGAAACAGAUCUGAGAGCUGAGAAGUCCAAGAUGAAGUCUCUGGCAGAUUUGAUGUCUGCCAAGAACUGAACCAAAAUACAAACAACAUAAACUACCACUUGAUGAGAAGAACUUCAAAGUCAAAUUGCAAAAGGUGACUAAAAAAGGGGAGUACUUUCAGCCGUUUUCAAAAUAAUCUAUGAUAUGUACUGGAAAACUUCUAAUAAUCCUUGUCAUUUUACAACUUUCCCACAGUUAGAUCAUCAGCAAAUGUCACUUGGAUCCCUAGCUAAAUUGUUCUUCCCAGAAAAUAGUUAUCUCCACUAUGGAAAGUAUUUUAUCAGAAGAAUUCGUAGAAGUAGAAUCUGUUUGUCUUCAGUUAAACAAAAGAAGAACCUCAUUGCUUUCCAACUGGGCCCCGGCCAUUUUCCAGUUGAAACAUCAAAUAUUUUAUUUGUGUCUUUCACUGCCAAUUAAAGGGCAACAGAAAUGGUACAGGCUCCCUCUGCAGUGGAAUUACCCUUAUGUCUUUUCUGUCUAUGCUGAUCCACCUGAUCUUGAACUGGUGCUAUUCCAUGGGGAAAAUUGGAACAUGGGGCAAUUAACACUUUCUCCACUUUAUCCCAUCAACAGGAAAUUGAAAUAUAACCAACUAACUCAGGAGACAUCAUGGAAGAUGUCACACAGUGAAUGAUGAUGAAGCAGAAUUUUUAAAAUGUGUAGGAUUACGAGAAGUGGGGUCAUUUUUCUUUGUGUAUGGUAUUGCUGAUGCAGUUUAAUGCUCCAUUACUUCUAAAUUUUCAUCAUAAGCUAGAUUUUCCAGUUGUGGUUUCUAUAAAGAAAAACAAACAUUCUGAAGACAGUUUUUCCAGAUUUAUUCCAGAUAUCGAUGAUUAACUUUUGAAGCUCCUCUGUUGAUUUGAACAUCCGCUGAAGCUUAUUUUUCACCUCAGAAUAGCAUCAACAUUAUUUGAAAUUCAAUUGUACUUUCUCGUUACAUUAAUAAAUCAUGGAAGUUGAGAAAA
rnacentral:lncRNA from 1 species